GAAACUUCUGAAGGCUUCAGGAGUUAAGGAGAAACACAGAUAUGGACUGUUUGUGUGGAAACAGCAGUUCUCCAUUUGUGUGGAAUCCCAGUCUCCAGUCCCUAUUUGUUGAGGUGGCAUCCUGUGUAAUCCUUGUGCUCUACAAACAAGGUAGCUAAGGCUGGAAGAGGUUGUGGGACUUCCUAAGGCGACAAAACUAGGAGGUGGCAGAACUGAGAUUAAGAGCUGACCAUGGAGAUCAAAAGUAGGCAGAGAAGCAGGCAGAGAGAGA